CCCGGCCGGGCCUUACUAGGCCGAUUCCUCUUUCUCCUUCUUCUCUUUUCACCCGCGACGGCCCAAUGGCCCUCUUUUCUUUUUCCUUUCCCUCGCGAGCGUGGCCUGUCUUCCACUGGGCCUCCGGCCCCUUUUCUCUCCACGGUCGACCGCGCGCGCUCCUGCAGCCCAACUGGCCUCCGCGUCCGGCCGGCCGACUCCCUCUCCCUCUCUUCCCCACUGACGCGCGGGCCCAAGGCUCCAGCGCCUUCUUCUUCCUCC
rnacentral:lncRNA from 1 species